rnacentral:lncRNA from 1 species
CAUUUUCUUUUUGUUUUUAAGCCUAUUGGCCGACAUUGGCAUUAAGACUUAAUGAAUUUAUUCACAUAUACCUACUUUCUUUAUUCAUUCACUAAUACCUACGGUUGAAACAGAACCGGACUUUGUUGGUUCUGUGCCGAUAGUGUUCUCUCGUCUUUCAAAUGGUGAAUCACCGAAGCCAAAUCCAUCUUGCGCAGACGGGAGACGAUGAUCGAAGUCAGACUUGAGUAUGGGACGAGAACUCGCUCAUUUUGAUCCCCUUGUUGACCAAGCAAGGUCGCACUGAGA